GCCGGGGUGGCCGAGCGGCCCAAGGCGCGGGACUGGAGACAAAAGCGGGAAAUCCCGUCCCCGUUCAGGGGGCCCGGGUUCAAAUCCCGGCCCCGGCG
rnacentral:tRNA from 1 species